GACGUAGGGCGCGAGCGUUGUCCGGAUUUAUUGGGCGUAAAGAGCUCGUAGGCGGCUUGUCGCGUCGACUGUGAAAACUCGGGGCUCAACUCCGAGCUUGCAGUCGAUACGGGCAUGACUGGAGUUCGGCAGGGGAGACUGGAAUUCCUGGUGUAGCGGUGAAAUGCGCAGAUAUCAGGAAGAACACCUAUGGCGAAGGCAGCUCUCUGGGACGGUACUGACGCUGAGACGCGAAAGCGUGGGGAGCGAACAGG
rnacentral:rRNA from 1 species